UACGUAGGGCGCGAGCGUUGUCCGGAUUUAUUGGGCGUAAAGAGCUCGUAGGCGGUCUGUUGCGUCAGGAGUGAAAACUCGGGGCUUAACCCCGAGCCUGCUUCUGAUACGGACAGACUAGAGGUAUGCAGAGGAGAGCGGAAUUCCUGGUGUAGCGGUGAAAUGCGCAGAUAUCAGGAGGAACACCGGUGGCGAAGGCGGUUCUCUGGGCAUUACCUGACGCUGAGGAGCGAAAGUGUGGGGAGCGAACAGG
rnacentral:rRNA from 1 species